rnacentral:rRNA from 1 species
UGGAGAGUUUGAUCCUGGCUCAGGAUCAACGCUGGCGGCGUGCCUAAUGCAUGCAAGUCGAGCGGGGUGGACUUCGGUUCACUCACGCGGCGGACGGGUGCGUAACACGUGGGCAACCUGCCCUGGGGCGGGGGAUAUCCGUGGGAAACCGCGGGCAAUUCCGCAUACGUUCAUGACUCGACGGGGGUCAUGAAGAAAGAGCGUAAGCUCACCCCAGGAGGGGCCUGCGGCCGAUUAGCUGGACGGUGGGGUAACGGCCUACCGUGGCGAUGAUCGGUAGCUGGUCUGAGAGGACGGCCAGCCACACGGGGACUGAGACACGGCCCCGACUCCUACGGGAGGCAGCAGCAAGGAAUCUUCCGCAAUGGGCG